GAGAAUCAUUCGCAAUGGGCGAAAGCCUGACGAUGCGACGCCGUGUGAGCGAAGAAGGCCUUAGGGUCGUAAAGCUCUUUCGCUUGGGAACAAGAAAAGGUGGCUAAUACCCACCAGAUUUGAGCGUACCAGGUAAAGAAGCACCGGCUAACUCCGUGCCAGCAGCUGCGGUAAUACGGAGGGUGCAAGCAUUAAUCGGAUUUAUUGGGCGUAAAGGGCGCGUAGGCGGAGAUAAAAGUCAGAUGUGAAAUCCCGGGGCUCAACCUCGGAACUGCAUUUGAAACUUUAUCCCUUGAGGGUAGGCGGAGAAAACGGAAUUCCACAAGUAGCGGUGAAAUGCGUAGAUAUGU
rnacentral:rRNA from 1 species